rnacentral:rRNA from 1 species
UACGUAGGGUGCGAGCGUGUCCGGAAUUAUUGGGCGUAAAGAGCUUGUAGGCGGUCUGUCGCGUCUGCUGUGAAAAUCCGGGGCUCAACCCCGGACUUGCAGUGGGUACGGGCAGACUAGAGGGUAUGCAGGGGAGAACGGAAUUCCUGGUGUAGCGGUGAAAUGCGCAGAUAUCAGGAGGAACACCGGUGGCGAAGGCGGUCUCUGGGCAUUACCUGACGUGGAGGAGCGAAACGUGUGGGGAGCGAACAGG